rnacentral:tRNA from 1 species
GUCUUAGUAGUUUAUAAUAAAACAUUGGUCUUGUAAACCAAAAAUAAUUUUUUAUUUCUAAAACU